rnacentral:lncRNA from 1 species
CGACGAUAAAGCUCGGCAAAAUUGGGUAAGAUGUCUGAACAUGCUCGCCACAAGAAUAAACGAACUUUUGGGGGAAUAGGAAGUUGCCAAAUCUCCUUCCAAUUCACUGUGUGAGAUCCACUACUCGAUUCUGCACCUCUAUUUCUCACUAAGUCAGCCCGCUUCCGCAUUGUAAGAAUUAAAUGGUAGCAAGUACGAACAGAAAAAUAUCCGUUCUUCGUGUAGUGCCAUAUCAUCCUGUCUUUUGCAUAUGUACUGCCAAUUGGGACCGCAAGGAUCCGAUUUCUAUCAACUGGCCAAAAUGUAGCAUUGAUCAGCGAAAUAUUCCAAGAGCGAGUUGGUUGAUCAAUAAUGUCUGAUACUUUAUCAGGAAACGCAUUAUGAAUCGGUCUCCGUGUGAUCAACUUGAAAGAAGUUUAUUCUUGAGUCGGUACUCAAAAUGACUGAAAAAACAACUAUUUAUAGACCUCGUACACAAAAACCAAAUACAAGCACUAAUGAUAAUAGAUUAUCCACUAAAUCAUUAUCGAAUCCUGUCAUCCGCAGUGUGGGAAUUUCAAAUCUAAUGAGGGUUGGUUCCUUGUGGGCACUAAGUCCGAGUCCGCUAUCCUAACGGGCCGUUGAGUUACCAUGAUUUACAUUCCUCCAUCAAAUACUUGUCAGACCAAGGGAUGUCACUGUGGACGAGAAAUUUCGCCUUUAUGGUACAAGAUUAUCCACUAAACCAUUAUCCAUAACCCAACAAUAACUUCCAUAACGAUGAUUGGAUUAAUCGUCCAUUAACUUUCAAAGUUUAAUGCUUCAAUGAGAAAAUAGAAAUGGAAGUUCUCUUUAAUUUGUUAGGACUCAGGUGGUGUUUGCAAAUGCUUUUUGAAAGUGAUUAUGCGGUUUUUUUUGCUCAUAAUCUGUUUUUAGGUGUUUGCAAAAUCAACUUUUACUUUUGCUUCUCUUAAAAUAAUCUGCUUUAAGCUAUUUUUUUAAAAGCAACCCUAACCCUGCUUUUUCAAUUUUAGUUCAUUUUUCGAAAUAUUUGCAAACACCCCCAACUUUUAGAAAUAAGCACUUAAAACUAACUUAAAUUACAAUCACUAACUUCUGUUUUUAAAUAAUCAUUUGCAAACACCACCUCAAUAUGUUUUCGAAAAUUU